rnacentral:rRNA from 1 species
CCUGGGGAGUACGGUCGCAAGAUUAAAACUCAAAGGAAUUGACGGGGACCCGCACAAGCGGUGGAUGAUGUGGAUUAAUUCGAUGCAACGCGAAAAACCUUACCUACCCUUGACAUGUCCGGAAUCCUGCAGAGAUGCGGGAGUGCCCGAAAGGGAAUCGGAACACAGGUGCUGCAUGGCUGUCGUCAGCUCGUGUCGUGAGAUGUUGGGUUAAGUCCCGCAACGAGCGCAACCCUUAUCAUUAGUUGCUACGCAAGGGCACUCUAAUGAGACUGCCGGUGACAAACCGGAGGAAGGUGGGGAUGACGUCAAGUCCUCAUGGCCCUUAUGGGUAGGGCUUCACACGUCAUACAAUGGUCGGUACAGAGGGUUGCCAAGCCGCGAGGCGGAGCCAAUCCCAGAAAGCCGAUCGUAGUCCGGAUUGUUCUCUGCAACUCGAGAGCAUGAAGUCGGAAUCGCUAGUAAUCGCGGAUCAGCAUGUCGCGGUGAAUACGUUCCCGGGUCUUGUACACACCGCCCGUCACAGCCAUGGGAGUGGAAUCUGGCAGAAGUAGGUAGCCUAACCGCAAGG